AGACAGAGAUUCCCUGGGAAUAUACCCGCUAAAGAACAGCAGUGUCUCAUGCCUCUCCUUCACCUCUCUGUGGAGAACACAGAGACAGAGAAAACUACAACCUUUCCCAAUGAGAAGCGAAGGACAUGCCUUCACCACUAGCAGCUGCUGCCACUUUGUACCUUCCUGUCCCAGAAGAUGUGGUACCAGCUGUGCAGAUCCCUGUUUACACUGGGCUUCAUCCCCUCCAGUAUUCAUUCAGCUUUCUUGCAAUGACAUUGGUGCCUGUGUGAUGCUUUUACUUCUUGUUCAAUUCUGGACCUCAGUGGGCACGGCACCAAGACCUACUGCUUCUGGUCACAAACCUCCAGAUGGAUCUACCAAAAUGAUACCUCACAGCUCCAUCACUUCAUUGCCCUAAAUCUGGCAUGUGGGAGGAAGGAACCAGAGCAGGAGAGAGAAGGAAUGCAAGAGGUGCCAGAGUUGAGCUCAGUACUGGUACAAGAUCAAUGAAGACCUCAAAACCAACCAACCAACCAAACAAGCAAACAAAAAACCUUCAAGUUUGUCACCAGUUCAAUGUGGAGGAAGAAGGUCAGAGAGGAGGCAUUUCAGACUGAUGUUUGGUUCAGGUUUAGUAAAUUCCUUGAGCAUUUUUAUUUGAAAUUUGUAUUAUAAUGCUUCUGGUGGGGAAAAAAUGAAUAACAGAACCACAGAACCUGAAUACUGCAACAUAAUGGCACACACAUUGCAGCCAGAUAGAUCCUGAUCCAAGUCUGACUGAUUAUAACUGCAGUAGAGAACUCUGGCCAAGGUAGUUUGCUAAAA